rnacentral:rRNA from 1 species
ACUCCUACGGGAGGCAGCAGUGGGGAAUAUUGCACAAUGGGGGAAACCCUGAUGCAGCCAUGCCGCGUGUGUGAAGAAGGUCUUCGGGUUGUAAAGCACUUUCAGUAGGGAGGAAGGUAGUGUAGUUAACACCUGCAUUAUUUGACGUUACCUACAGAAGAAGCACCGGCUAACUCCGUGCCAGCAGCCGCGGUAAUACGGAGGGUGCGAGCGUUAAUCGGAAUUACUGGGCGUAAAGCGCAUGCAGGCGGCCUGUUAAGUCAGAUGUGAAAGCCCGGGGCUUAACCUCGGAAUUGCAUUUGAAACUGGCAGGCUAGAGUCUUGUAGAGGGGUUAGAAUUUCAGGUGUAGCGGUGAAAUGCGUAGAGAUCUGAAGGAAUACCAGUGGCGAAGGCGGCCCCUGGACAAAGACUGACGCUCAGAUGCGAAAGCGUGGGAGCAAACAGGAUUAGAUACCCCUGGUAGCGACUGA